AUUCCAGCUCCAAUAGUGUAUAUUAAAGUUGUUGCAGUUAAAAAGCUCGUAGUUGAAUUUCUGGGUGUGAUAGGCGGUCCGUGUGCAUAACAUGUGUACCUCCCUCUCAUGCCCAUCCUCGAAGUGAAUAUGCAUUGCCUUAACUGUGUCGAGUAUAGGACCUUCGUCAAUUACUGUGAGCAAAAUAGAGUGUUCAAAGCAGGCUUAUGCCGUUGAAUAUAUUAGCAUGGAAUAAUAAGAUAUGACUUCUGUCUAUUUUGUUGGUCUGCAUUCGGAAGUAAUGAUUAAUAGGGAUAGUUGGGGGUUUUCGUAUUCAAUUGUCAGAGGUGAAAUUCUUGGAUUUAUGGAAGACGAACUACUGCGAAAGCAUCAACCAAGGAUGUUUUCAUCA
rnacentral:rRNA from 1 species